UACGUAGGGAGCGAGCGUUGUCCGGAUUCAUUGGGCGUAAAGAGCUCGUAGGCGGCUUGAUAAGUCGGAUGUGAAACCUCCAGGCUCAACCUGGAGUCGCCAUCCGAUACUGUCAUGGCUAGAGUCCGGUAGGGGCCAACGGAAUUCCUGGUGUAGCGGUGAAAUGCGCAGAUAUCAGGAGGAACACCGGUGGCGAAGGCGGGUCUCUGGGCCGUAACUGACGCUGAGGAGCGAAAGCGUGGGGAGCGAACAGG
rnacentral:rRNA from 1 species